AAGUAUUCAAAGUAGCUCGUUUCUGACCCGGGGCUUUACGGAUCGUAUUAUCCGCUAAUUCGAAGGAAAUGUCUGAGGCGAUGAGCUCAGUCUGAGACAGAAGGACUGAUUGGACGUUCCAUUCCUCGCGCUUUAAUCUUGGUUAAUAUUAUGCUAUACAAUGAUUUCGAUGUGUUACGCGAUUAGAGAUGUGUCACUAGGCAUAUACUUCAUGGAAAUAUUCGUUGAGAAAAAAAUAAAGUAAUUAAUUAACGUUGUUAUUAAUGACAGACGAAUGACAAGUUGGAACCGGGUUUUUUUGUAUGUUUUACAUAUUUUAAACCACAACCUUUAAACACGUAUAAUAAUAUUAUAACAAUGAAGGCAUCUAUCAAUUUUAAAAUCUAAUGUUAACAUUAUACACAUAAAUUGAAUGCAUCUGUAAUCAGAAUUUAGUUGUGACUGCGUUUCCAUUAAAUCUAUACUUGAUAUCUGGAGUUCAUCUCUUUAAAAAAAGUAGUGGGUUAACAGCAAGUCCCUGUUUAGACAUUUUUGACUUUUUCUAGCAGAGUUCACAUAACAUUAAGCAUAGUAAUGUGUUUGUAUUUGUUCAUAAAAUAUAUAAUCCUAAACGCCUGUAUAGAGCGAUUAUUCAACUGAUUGAAUAAAAUAAACUUAUCUAGUUACGUUAAUGAUGGAAAUCAGGGGUUAAAAAUAUUUGAAAAUUAUGGUAUUAUCCGUUAUUUUAUUAUCUACGGAAUAAUCCUACACGCCUUUGUGUGUGGUCAAAAUGCUGUCGCCACAGACGUCGUUUAUGAUGGAAAAACAAACGUUUUACUAAUCCCG